GCUUACGGCCAUACCACCCUGAAUGCGCCCUAUCUCGUCUGAUCUCGGAAGCUAAGCAGGGUCAGGCCAGGUUAGUACUUCGAUGGGACACCGCCUGGGAAUACCAGGUGCUGUAAGUU
ensembl:rRNA 5S_rRNA 5S ribosomal RNA